AUACUAUUUAUAUAGAGAGAGUUCGAUUACUAUACUGUUAAUGGUAUUUAGGUUAUUUUACUGUACAGUUUUGAGCCGUUACAUCUACUCUUUUGAUUAUUUCUAUUAUUGGAUCAAUACUAUUUAAUCAACUAUCGCUAAACCUUAGGAGGACCACCACUCAACCCUAGGAGACUACUAUCAUUCUAAUCCUAUAAUUUUUCAUCCAAAAACUAAAAACUGUACAGUAAACAAAUUCAAAUACUAUUACUAGUAUAGAAGUUCAAUUUUACUUACGGUUAACUAAUCUUUUCUAACGGAUCCUAACGGCAGAGACACAUUUGAAAAUAUCAUUACUUUUAUAGAGACAAUGUAUGAAAAUUGAACUUUGUGGGAAUAUAAUUAUAAUUCACUAUAUUUGUAAGAACCCCUAUGAAAUUAACCCCUAUAUAUAUAUAUAUAUAUAUAUAUAUAUAUAUAUAUAUAUAUAUAGAGAGAGAGAGAGAGAGAGAGAGAGAGAGAGAGAGAGAGAGAAGGACUACUAUACUAUUAUAAGUAUUGGGCCCUUCGUACUCAUAAAUUAUUUUCGAUGAUGGAGCUUCUGAAUCGACGAUUCACUCCGUUAAAUAUAAUCUAGAGUAUUUGAAACUUCUAGAAAAUAAAUUUCGUAAUUUUUCGAAAUCAUAAUAAAGUCCAUCAAGCGGGUAUAAAAUGAACGGUCAAAAUCGAACGAUAUCUUAAAAAUGGAUGAUCAGAUCCUUCAAUUUACGAUCGGAGUGUAUUAAUCUUCAUCUCGGUAGUGAAUAUAAUUUUCUAUCAAAAAUUCAACCUAUUCGGAUUCUUUUGCACCGUUAAACUAGCAAGUAUUUCAUACCGGCCAUUAAAAAUUGUCAAUUUUGUGAGCUUCUUGAUCGUAAG
rnacentral:lncRNA from 1 species